rnacentral:rRNA from 1 species
GGUUAACGCUGGCGGCGUGCCUAACACAUGCAAGUCGAACGGUUCUAAGCGCGAGCUUAGGAUAGUGGCGAACGGGUGAGUAAAAGGUAGGAAUCUACCCCUUGGACGGAGAUAGCUACUGGAAACGGUAGGUAAACUUCGAUAAGCCCGAGAGGGGAAAGUGGUGAGACAGCCGAGGGAUGAGCCUACUCUCCAUCAGGUAGUUGGUGAGAUAAAAGCUUACCAAGCCGAUGACGGAUAACCGGUGUGAGAGCAUGAACGGUCACAAGGGCACUGAGAGACGGGCCCUACUCCUACGGGAGGCAGCAGUAGGGAAUAUUGGGCAAUGGGCGAAAGCCUGACCAGCCAUGCCGCGUGAAGGAAGACGGCCUUAGUGGGUUGUAAACUUCUUUACUACGCGAAUAGAAGGUUAGUACGAGAUACUAAUAGGAAGGUAGUAGUAGUAAAAGCAACCGGCUAACUCCGUG